UAGGGAUACCAUCUGUCCUGGUUUGCCCAGGACUGAGGAGUUGUUUCAGUUCUAAGACCAGGAUAGUCCUGGGCAAACUGGGAUGGUUGGUUACUUUAAGAGUGA
rnacentral:pre_miRNA from 1 species